GUUUGAUCCCCUGCUCAGAACGAACGCUGGCGGCAGGCUUAACACAUGCAAGUCGAGCGCUCUCUUCGGAGGGAGCGGCGGACGGGUUAGUAACGCGUGGGAACAUACCCUUUGGUACGGAAUAGCCUCUGGAAACGGAGAGUAAUACCGUAUGAGCCCUUCGGGGGAAAGAUUUAUCGCCAAAGGAUUGGCCCGCGUUAGAUUAGGUAGUUGGUGGGGUAAUGGCCUACCAAGCCUACGAUCUAUAGCUGGUUUUAGAGGAUGAUCAGCAACACUGGGACUGAGACACGGCCCAGACUCCUACGGGAGGCAGCAGUGGGGAAUCUUGGACAAUGGGCGCAAGCCUGAUCCAGCCAUGCCGCGUGAGUGAUGAAGGCCUUAGGGUCGUAAAGCUCUUUCGCCUGUGAAGAUAAUGACGGUAGCAGGUAAAGAAACCCCGGCUAACUCCGUGCCAGCAGCCGCGGUAAUACGGAGGGGGUUAGCGUUGUUCGGAAUUACUGGGCGUAAAGCGCACGUAGGCGGACUGGAAAGUUGGGGGUGAAAUCCCAGGGCUCAACCCUGGAACUGCCUCCAAAACUAUCAGUCUAGAGUUCGAGAGAGGUGAGUGGAAUUCCGAGUGUAGAGGUGAAAUUCGUAGAUAUUCGGAGGAACACCAGUGGCGAAGGCGGCUCACUGGCUCGAUACUGACGCUGAGGUGCGAAAGUGUGGGGAGCAAACAGGAUUAGAUACCCUGGUAGUCCACACCGUAAACGAUGAAUGCCAGUCGUCGGGUAGCAUGCUAUUCGGUGACACACCUAACGGAUUAAGCAUUCCGCCUGG
rnacentral:rRNA from 1 species